UACGUGGGGUGCGAGCGUUGUCCGGAUUUACUGGGCGUAAAGAGCGCGCAGGCGGCUGGUCAAGUCCGAUGUGAAAGCUCCCGGCUUAACUGGGAAAUUGCAUCGGAAACUGGAUGGCUUGAAUUCGGGAGAGGGAUGCAGAAUUCCAGGUGUAGCGGUGAAAUGCGUAGAUAUCGGGAGGAACACCGGUGGCGAAGGCGGCCUUCUGGACAAUGACUGACGCUGAGACGCGAAAGCGUGGGGAGCAAACAGG
rnacentral:rRNA from 1 species